GCUUGUGCCAGGACGAAAACUGCAGUUUGGAAGUGAUCAGUGGACAAUAUUCAGAUAUUGGGGUUGACAGAUGAAGGCUCCUGCUAACCGCUCCUCCUGCCACUGAACUCAAUGGCAAAGUGCAGCUCAGACAUUUGCUCAUGAAUUCUGUGCUACUAAAAGGGCUCUUGAUAAUGAAGCACGAGUGUUGACCAGCCCUCCGUCUGCAGCC
rnacentral:lncRNA from 1 species